ensembl:snRNA U2 U2 spliceosomal RNA
AUCGCUUCUCGGCCUUUUGGCUAAGAUCAAGUGUAGUAAAAGUGUAGAUUAUGCUUAUUUGUAGGGGGUAGGGAAGGAGAGAAUGGGGGGGGGGGCUUAAUAAAGAUUAGGAGGAAAGAAGGCAACCAAAAGUCUCACAAGUCACUUCCUUUAGGAGCUGCCACUGUGUUUAGCUCAAACACA